rnacentral:rRNA from 1 species
GGAGCGGCCGAUGUCUGAUUAGCUAGUUGGUGGGGUAAUGGCCUACCAAAGCNNUUNCGAUCAGUAGCUGNGUCUGAGAGGACGGCCAGCCACACUGGGACUGAGACACGGCCCAGACUNCUACGGGAGGCAGCANGUGGGGAAUUUUGGACAAUGGGCGCAAGCCUGAUCCAGCCAUGCCGCGUGAGUGAAGAAGGCCUUCGGGUUGUAAAGCUCUUNUCAGUNCNNGGGAAGAAAAGGUUGCNGACNUAAUANAUCGCAAUUCAUGACGGUACCGGAAGAAGAAGCACCGGCUNAACUACGUGCCAGCNAGCCGCGGUNAAUACGUAGGGUGCGAGCGUUAAUCGGAAUUACUGGGCGUAAAGGGUGCGCAGGCGGUUUUGUAAGUCAGAUGUGAAAUCCCCGGGCUUAACCUGGGAAC